GCCGCGGUAUUUUGACCGUGCAAAGGUAGCGCAAUCACUUGUCUCUUAAAUAGAGACCUGUAUGAAUGGCUAGACGAGGGCUUAACUGUCUCCCCCUUCCAGUCAGUGAAAUUGAUCUAUCCGUGCAGAAGCGGGUGUAAUUAUACAAGACGAGAAGACCCUUUGGAGCUUAAGGUACAAAGUUCAACCACGUUAAACGACUCCACAGAAAGCAAGAACUUAGUGGGAAAUGAAACUUUACCUUCGGUUGGGGCGACCACGGAGGAGAAGAGAGCCUCCGAGUGGACUGGGCUAAAUCCCCAAAGCCAAGAGAUACAUCUAUAAGCCGCAGAACAUCUGACCAAAAAUGAUCCGACUGAAAAGCCGAUCAACNAACCAAGUUACCCUAGGGAUAACAGCGCAAUCCUCUCCCAGAGUCCAUAUCGACGAGGGGGUUUACGACCUCGAUGUUGGAUCAGGACAUCCUAAUGGUGCAGCCGCUAUUAAGGGUUCGUUUGUUCAACGAUUAAAGUCCUACGUGAUCU
rnacentral:rRNA from 1 species